GACAGAGGUGCCGAGCGUUAGGCGGAAUCACUGGGCUUAAAGCGUGUGUAGGCGGGUCGUUAAGUGCCUUGUGAAAUCCCACGGCUCAACCGUGGAACUGCUGGGCAUACUGGCGAUCUUGAGCCAGCUAGGGGCUACUGGAACAAACGGUGGAGCGGUGAAAUGCGUAGAUAUCGUUUGGAACGCCAACGGUGAAAACAGGUAGCUGGGGCUGUGCUGACGCUGAGACACGAAAGCCAGGGGAG
rnacentral:rRNA from 1 species